CGAUAGCUUAUCAUAAAUAACAUUCCCUUUAGUUUACAAGCAACGCUAAAGAAGUUCUAAUACAAGCUACAAAACACAGCACAAUCAGAAUGUACAAAUAUUUUAUUGUUUAGCCAUGCCUCGUGUUAAUUGCCCACAAGCCUUGGAGUUGCCUAAGAUCAAGUACAACUUCUUUAACCAAGCUUACUAGGUCAUGUACUGCCUUGACAUCCAUCUCUCCUCAUAUCUCCCAAAGGAGUUGGCAGAAUAAGGUGCCUCAGUGACGUUGAGGGAAUCAGGUUCUAUGCCGUAAUCUGUCAGUGGUCUGUGUUCAAGAACUUCGUCGUGACUUUUCACGAAAUCAGGAAUUUCAACCUCUCCCUUUUUUAUAUCUUCUGACAGAUACUGAAGGCG
rnacentral:misc_RNA from 1 species